rnacentral:rRNA from 1 species
GAUGAACGCUGGCGGCGUGCCUAACACAUGCAAGUCGAACGGAAAGGCCCUGCUUUUGCUGGGCGCUCGAGUGGCGAACGCGUGAGUAACACGCGAGUAACCCGCCCUUGUCUGUGGGAUAACAUCAGGAAACUGGGGAUAAUACCCGAUAUGAGCUCCUGCUGCACGGGGGGGGUUGGAAAGUUUCGGCGGUUGUGGAUGGACUCGCGGGUUAUCAGCUUGUUGGUCGGGUUGUGGCGUACCAAGCCUUCGACGGGUAGCCGGCCUGGGAGGGGGACCGGCCACAUUGGGACUAAGGGACGGCCCAGACUCCUACGGGAGGCAGCGGUGGGGAGUAUUGCGCAGUGGGCGGAAGCCUGAUACAGCAACGCCGCGUGCGGGAUGACGGCCUUCGGGUUGUAAACCGCUUUCGCCUGUGACGAAGCGUGAGUGACGGUAAUGAGUAAAGAAGCACCGGCUAACUACGUG